rnacentral:rRNA from 1 species
GUAGGGAAUAUUGGGCAAUGGAUGCAAGUCUGACCCAGCCAUCCCGCGUGCCGGAAGAAGGCCCUCAGGGUUGUAAACGGCUUUUGACGGUGAAGAAUCGACAGGAUGCGCCCUGUUUUGACGGUAGCCGUUGAAUAAGCACCGGCUAACUCCGUGCCAGCAGCCGCGGUAAUACGGAGGGUGCGAGCGUUGUCCGGAUUUAUUGGGUUUAAAGGGUGCGUAGGCUGGAAGGUCAGUCAGCGGUGAAAAGCUGUCGCUUAACGAUAGUCUUGCCGCAGAUACUUCCUUUCUUGGAUGAGGAGGAGGCCACUGGAACGGAUGGUGUAGCGGUGAAAUGCAUAGAUAUCAUCCAGAACACCGAUUGCGAAGGCAGGUGGCUGUACCUUAAUCGACGCUGAUGCACGAAAGCAUGGGGAGCAAACAGGAUUAGAUACCCUUGUAGUCC